rnacentral:rRNA from 1 species
UGGGCGUAAAGCGCGUGUAGGCGGCUGGCCAAGUCUGAUGUGAAAGCCCUCGGCUUAACCUAGGAAGUGCAUUCGAUACUGGGAAACUCGAGUACGGGAGAGGGUGGUGGAAUUCCUGGUGUAGGAGUGAAAUCCGUAGAUAUCAGGAGGAACACCGGUGGCGAAGGCGGCUACCUGGACCGAUACUGACGCUGAGACGCGAAAGCGUGGGGAGCAACACAGGAUUAGAUACCCUGGUAGUCCACGCUGUAAACGAUGAGCGCUAGGUGUUGCGGG